AGGUGAGCCUCUGCUCAGGUGACCUUACUACGAGCUGCCUCCCUUUCCGGCCCCCAAAGUGGCUGUUCAGUCUUGCUUGGGAUCAGGACCCGCUCCACGUCCUUGAGCAUAAUUAGCCCUUUUCCAGCUGCCAUGCCUCAGUUUACCUCCGAGUGAACUAAGGGAGAAGCCUUUCCUCUUGGCCAGCGGGGCUCCACUGUGGCCUAAGGUAGCGUUACCAGGUAGCUGCGGGUACGGGGUGGCCCAGGUCCCUGACAGGGCUAGGGUUCUUUUCUUUUGCGGCGGGCACCUAUAGCCUGGGCUGCAAGGGACUGACAGGCUGUGCGCCAGCGGCUACACGGGUUGGGUAGAGCCACCGCUGAAGCUGAGGUCUGCGCGCAGGUGUCUGCAGAACCGGAGCCCGACCACCGCCACACCGCACCAUGGCGCCCACCCUGGCCACUGCCCAUCGGCGCCGCUGGUGGAUGGCCUGCACCGCUGUGUUGGAAAACCUCCUUUUCUCCGCAGUCCUCCUGGGCUGGGGUUCGCUGCUCAUCAUGCUCAAGUCCGAGGGCUUUUACUCCUACCUGUGUACGAAGCCAGGUGAGAUGGGCGCCUCGGUCGGGGGCAGGUUUCUGGAGUGGGUCUUUGGGAGAGGGCGGUUGGUGGUGAAGAUGUAAGCCAGCUAUGCCUGCUUGCUGCACAGCGCCUCUAAGUGCCAAAAAGCCCAUUUGAUCCUCAUCCAGCUCUCUGGGUGCGUAUCAUUAUCAUCGUCCCUGUUUGUGGAUGGAGAAACUGAGGCUGGGACAAGUCUUCCAUUUGCCCAAGCUGUAGACUAAUAGACUAAUAGACUCCUGCGUGCAGUCAGGAACGUUGCUGGCCUUCUGGUCUUCCAGGGCCUGCAGCAUUGCUUGCCUUGCAAAAAAAAAAAAAAAAAAAAAAACAUGUGUAAGAAAGAGGAACUCUCAUAGGCCGGGGUGCAGCAGGAGAGAGGAAGUGGCUUCGCCUCCACCCGAAGGAAGGUUCAUCUAGACCUACAUGUUUUUAAGUCAGGCCAUUAUGGAGUCCCCUUAAAGGCUUGCCAAGAUAGAAUUUCUUGUCUAUUUUUGCUGCUUUAUGAUUCUCCAAAGGCCAUUUCCUCUCCUGAACUGUGAGAACAUCUCAGUGGCUUUCAAAACAUCGUAGGGAGGAAGAGGAAGGGAGACAGUGGUAGAAGGAUGCUUAGACUCUCCAGGACAGACUGCAGGCAGGCUGAGGCUGGCCCACACUACCCCCACCCUUCCUUCUGCCACUCCUGUCUUCAUACCCUGGUUGCUGUAGGGUCAUCAGUGGGGCCGAGUCAGCUGCCAUCCUCUCCCCUUCUUAGGCAUCCUUGGUAAGAACUGCUUCUUGCCUUUGUCUCUUGUCUCUGCCCCACCCCGUACCCAGGCUUGACUCUGUAGGUCACUGCUGGCAUGUCUUUUUUAUUUCUAGAGUCCUAUUCAUUUACUUUUUUACUUUAAAUUUUUUCUUACAUUUUUUUAUUCAUUUAUGGGGGCCACAGAACUGGAUGACUGACAGAGGACUGCUGUCGAUGACAGAGGACUGCUGUCGAUGACAGAGGACUGCUUUUGGUUGUUGACACUCUUUUUCCACUAUGUGAAUUUAUGAGGUCAAACUCAGGUUGACAGACUUGGUGGCAAGAGGUUCCACGCCCUGAGUGUCAUCUCUAAGAAGUGGGCUUGCUAUUUAUUUUAUUUUAUUUUCAAAAUAGGGUUUCUCUGUGUAGCCCUGUCUGUCCUGGAACUCAACCCCUAGACCAAACUUGCUUCAAACUCAAGGAUCUACCUGCCUCUGCCUCUUGAGUCCUGGGAUCAAAGUGCACCAUUAUUGCUGGGCUCUCAAGAAUUUUUUUUUCCCUGAGACAAGGUUUCUCUGUGUAGCCUUGGCUGUCCUGGAACUCACUCUGUAGACCAGGCUGGCCUCGAACUCAGAAAUCUGCCUGUCUCUGCCUCCUAAAUUCUAGGAUCAAAGGUGUGCGCCACCACUGCCCGGCUCUAAAAAUUUUUUUGUCUGUAAGGUUGUUUGGUCUUUUGUUCUUCACAAAGGAUCUUGCUAUGUAGCUGAGGCUAGCCUUUAAUUUGUAAUAAUUCCAUCUCAUUCUCCUAAGUGGUGGGCUGACAAGCCUAUACUGCCUCACCCAGCCUCUCAUUCUUAGCAGGAAGGGAAAGCCUUGGACCUGCUCCCACUGCCUGGACCCGAGUCAGUUAGUCUUCACUUCCCUUCUCUGAUCUGCCCAGAGGAUCCUUAGUGUACAGAGCUUAGCAGGAGAGGAGAAAGGUGGGAGAAAGGGAGAGACCAAAGGCCACCUGGGAGAGGGCAGAAAGCCUAUCAUUUAUAACCAACCUUUAGCCUUUAGCACUCAAAAAUGUUUCCUAAUAGCCUAAGGUUUCUUGGCAGGUCUUUCCCCACAUCAGCAAGAAAUCUUGAGAGACUGAGAGUCAGACCUUGUUCCCUGACCAAGCUUUCUCUUUUGCUUCUGGGAUGUCAGGAGAUUAAAGGCCCCUCUGAAAGGAACAGGUGGGAGUGUUGGCUCUCUUUUGUGCCUUUGUUACAGGAUACACUGGGGAUUUAAAAAAACAG
rnacentral:lncRNA from 1 species